rnacentral:rRNA from 1 species
GUCCACGCUGUAAACUAUGAUUACUCGAAGUGUGCGAUAUACUGUACGCCUCUAAGCGAAAGCAAUAAGUAAUCCACCUGGGGAGUACGCUCGCAAGAGUGAAACUCAAAGGAAUUGACGGGGCCCGCACAAGCGGAGGAGUAUGUGGUUUAAUUUCGAUGAUACGCGAGGAACCUUACCUGGGCUUGAAAGUUAGUGACCGUUCCUGAAAGGGAGCUUUCCGCAAGGACACGAAACUAGGUGCUGCAUGGCUGUCGU